GGAUGUGAGGGUGAUCUGGCUGACAUCUGUCAUCCCAAUGGAUCACCAGGGUUGGCCCGGCUGAUCUGGCUGGCUCAGCGGGUGUUCCCGUCCUCCCUCACCAUUCAACGUGUCUCCCUACAGAAGCUCCAUUGAAAAAGACCAUCUGUCAAGGGUAGAGGAGUAGCUGUGGUUCUCUUUCUGUCUAUAGGACAACAUACGUAUAGGAUCAGCACCAUACUUGAAUGCUAAAAACUUAGUCUUUCAAAUAGUUUAGUAUAGUCAGGUGUAAUGGUGCAUCCCU
rnacentral:snRNA from 1 species